rnacentral:misc_RNA from 1 species
GAUGAAGAACGUAGCGAAAUGCGAUAAGUAAUGUGAAUUGCAGAAUUCAGUGAAUCAUCGAAUCUUUGAACGCACAUUGCGCCCGCCAGUAUUCUGGCGGGCAUGCCUGUCUGAGCGUCAUUUCAACCCUCACGCCCCUAGGGCGUGGUGUUGGGGAUCGGCCAAAGCCCGCGAGGGACGGCCGGCCCCUAAAUCUAGUGGCGGACCCGUCGUGGCCUCCUCUGCGAAGUAGUGAUAUUCCGCAUCGGAGAGCGAUGAGCCCCUGCCGUUAAACCCCCAACUUUCCAAGGUUGACCUCAGAUCAGGUAGGAAUACCCGCUGAGCUUAAGCAUAUCAAUAAGCGGAGGA